GUCAGCUGAGAUAGGCUCCAGCCUCCCACGAUCCAACAGAGGAUUGAGUAGUUUAUAGAUUAUGCAUAGAUGGAUGGAAUUCUUAAUUAUUUCAAGAAAAAUGCACAAGUUUUUGCUGACUAUUAAAUAGGUUUAAAUAGUAAAACAUGGAAUGCAUUGCUAUUAUAUUUGGAUUGAAUUUCGUAAUGUAACAGAUUUGUGGAAUAUCUUUUUCAUUUUAAUCUAAUUCAUUUAAUGUAUACAUUUUUUUUUGACAAACCGUUUUGUGCAUGAAAUGAAAUGACAAAUUUCUCCCUUUCUUCCUCUCUCAACUUUCUAACCAGCGAAAGCGAGACAGCAGCCCACCAGGAGCCUCCAGCCAAGUGGUCCUGCACCCCCUCUGGCUUUCAGCGUGGAGGCGAGGAACCAUCCCGGCCGGAGGAACACGCUGCCCAGCCAGAAAGGAGCACCAGCCCCCAGCCGUCCACCUCUGGCUCACUGCAUUACCCUCCAGAGCCUCACAUAAGUCUCAUCCCCCCACCGACGAGAGGAGCUCCAGCCCCCCGAGGUCCAACUCUGCUCAGCAAGCGAGGACGUCCCGGCAAAUCUCCACCCCGGGGGAGAAAGAGCAGAGUCAGGGAGGAGAUGGAUCAGAGGCCAGCAGCAGGGACAAGGAUGUAGGGUCUUUACAGAUGUUCAGAGGGAGCUGAUGCCACAUCUGGUCCAGCUGAUGGAAGGUCUUGAAGUUCUCUGACUGAAGAUGGUCCUCUCACUGGAUUUAAGUUUCAGAUGCUCAGGAACAAACUCCACCAAUGAGCCAACAGGAAAGCUUUAGUUUUAUGAAAUGUUGCUAUGAAGCAUGAAGACUAAACUCUCCACAAGGACCCAAAAUAAGUUGGACUUCUACAUGAGAGCUUUAGUUAUUCUUCAUCUACUUCCUGAAAAGUUUGGUCAAUAAAAAAGACAAAAACUAAUAUUUUCAGCUGAGCUAAAGACAGACUUUGUGAUUUUUCUGCUCACAUGUCUAGGCUUGCGCUAGCCGAUCGCCACAGCGCCAUUGGCGCAUCGUUUUGCUGGAUGGCGCAGUCAUUCUGAACUGUGUGAGCCACAGUGGCGCUCUAUUUUUCUUGUAAAAAGCAUCAAAAAAAGGGUUCGACUUACUUUUUAUUCCAAUCUCUCGGCAGGCGUCGGAAAUGGUCGGAGUCACCCGAAUCUUGAUCACGCGCCCGGUGUUGUAGAAUUUUCACACUCCCCGGAAAAAUCUGACUCCCCCUUCGCGUGAACGCGCGCGACUUCCGUUUCACUCUGUGGCCACUUGACGGGUUUUCUGUUGUACGUUUACUGUUUUUGUUGUUGUUUUCUACAGGUUUUCGAGUUAAAUGUGAUUAAGUACCGAACUGCAGACGUGUUUUCCUGUUAAAUAUGAUUAGGUGACAUGUUUCUCC